GUCAGGGAAACCCUCUGUGAUAAGGAGGUACGGAGCAGAACUGCAGAAGUAAUGUGCCUGGUUCCUCGUUAAUAAUAAAUAAUGCUGUGUUUGAGCAGGAGCCAGGACCAGGGUGGCUGGAGCUGAGUUGGUUUAGGUGAGGGGAAAGAAGUGGAAACGGAUGAGGCAUAGAGGUCAUGGGAGCAGAUCGCGAGGAGCCCUGCAGGACUCUUUUAAGAAUCCGAAUUUCACUAUCAGAGAAAAGGGGACUUACUGAGGAAUUGGCCUCCAGGGAGCCGUGGGACAGGACUGAAUGAAUAAUAACAGAAUCCCUGAGGCUGCAGUGCACAGAGUGUCCUCUAGGGGGCAAGGAGCAGAGACAGCGCCCCAGUGAGCAGGCUGCUGCAGUGGUCUACAUGGGAUUCUCAGCCUGCCUUCUGCCUGGAGCCUAAGUUAGCUGGUUCCUGCAAGAACAAGACAGCCAGAGGGCAUGCGAAGAGUGGUCCCUGAAACUCUGAAGGCCAAGGAUGACCCCUGCAGGGCUGGGCUGUGGCUGCUUCCGAAACAGUUCAGUCUUCUCACAGUACUUCUCUCUCCUACCCUCCUCAGCAGAACCUGCCUAUUUCCUUUCCGCUAUUGGUCAACACAUCUAAGUCUCAUCCAGCUGGCUCUCAGGACCAUGAGAGGAUGUCUCCCGUGUGCCCCUGGCACUUCACACAGUUCCUGACACCAACGAGACAGCUUAUAAUUAUUUGAGGAAAGAAGGAAGGAAUGUAAGCGCGCAUUCCUCAUGACCAGAUUAAGUACAAGGCUGUGGUGUAACACAGGAUUUUUGUUUUUACCUCCAUCCUCACGGCAUCCUCACCUUCAACCUGUCCCCACAAUCACUGCUCUCCUUCUGGGUGGCCAAGAGGAAUUUCCAGCAUUCAGUUCUCAUUGUCAGUAAUGAGAGAAGUGUUUGGGAUAAAGAAGCCUCUUGACCCCACAGUGAUGCUGUGAUUUUCCUUUCUGUAGCUUCAAACAUUGUGGCUUAUAUUUCAA